UGGGGAAUUUUGGACAAUGGGCGCAAGCCUGAUCCAGCAAUGCCGCGUGCAGGAUGAAGGCCUUCGGGUUGUAAACUGCUUUUGUACGGAGCGAAACGGCUCUCACUAAUACUGGGAGCUAAUGACGGUACCGUAAGAAUAAGCACCGGCUAACUACGUGCCAGCAGCCGCGGUAAUACGUAGGGUGCAAGCGUUAAUCGGAAUUACUGGGCGUAAAGCGUGCGCAGGCGGUUAUGUAAGACAGAUGUGAAAUCCCCGGGCUUAACCUGGGAACUGCAUUUGUGACUGCAUAGCUAGAGUACGGUAGAGGGGGAUGGAAUUCCGCGUGUAGCAGUGAAAUGCGUAGAUAUGCGGAGGAACACCGAUGGCGAAGGCAAUCCCCUGGACCUGUACUGACGCU
rnacentral:rRNA from 1 species